AGAAAGGAGCUUUCAAGGGCUUCUUGGCCGAAUGCAAAGCACUCAGCAGCAUUCGGCAUCAUAACCUUGUUAAGAUCUUGACUGCUUGUUCGAGCAUCGACUCCCAUCGUAAUGAGUUCAAAGCCUUGGUAUACGAGUUCAUGGUAAACGGCAACUUGGACAUUUGGUUGCACCCCAACGACGAACACAUGCAAUUCAAACCUUUGAGCUUCCUGCAAAGAUUGAACAUCACAAUCGAUGUGGCCUCUGCUUUGGAUUAUCUUCACCACCAGUGCCGAACUCCAAUCAUCCACUGUGAUCUGAAGCCAAGCAACAUUCUUCUCGACGAUGAUUUCACAGCUCAUAUCAGUGAUUUUGGAUUGUCGAGGCUCAUUUUCAAUUCUAACAAAGACAUCUUUUCGAGUCAUCUCAGCUCCUCUGCUUUUAAGGGAACCAUGGGUUACAUUGCUCCAGGUACUACUUUAAUGAUCACAAAUACAUUUACAUUCACACAAUCAAAGAUUUCGAUGACCUUGUAGAGUAAUCAAGCUAACAGGAACUUUUUCUGGACUGGCAGAAUAUGGAAUGGGCGUUCGUCCAUCAACAAGUGGGGAUGUGUACUCUUUCGGAAUUCUCUUGUUAGAGAUGUUCACUGGAAGACGGCCGACAGACAACAUAUUUAAAGAGAAUUUUAACCUUCAGAAGUUUGUCAAGUCAGUAUUGUCAAAGCGAGCAAUGGGGAUUUUGGAUCAGUCAAUUUUCUGUGGAGAAGUAGGCGAAAGCAUGGACGAGGAGGGGAUAUGGAGAGACUGUGGAACCGACCAAGCCAAAUGUCUGAUAUCGGUUUUCGAGAUCGGAUUAAUUUGCUCAGCAGAAUCGCCAAAAGACAGGAAGGACAUGAAUGGAGUUGCACGGGACUUGCUCUCAAUCAGAGACAAGUUUCUCAAUACCGGCAUCCAUGAGGAUAGAAUACAGAGCCCUGCACCAAGUAAAGCACCUUUUUAAGUCGCCAUAUGCUUGUAUCUUUGUAUCCCUGGCAUUGCUUCACUGUUCCACAAUAUCUUUGGAUUUAGUAAAUCGGCUCAUAUGAUAACAAGUAUCGGGACAAUUGCUGAGAGCCUGAUCGAUAUAUCCUCCUUUCUCUUUUCAUAUUUUGCAGGGGACAGGUGCGAGGUGGCGGCCUGUUCCACCUCCGGUUUUUGAGUGGGACGGGGGGAAACUGUAAAUAGAGGCUGGCACGACGUAGCUUGUUAGAGCCACGUGGCUCUUUCCAUGUCAAUGGCGGGCUAGCUUGGGCAUCUGCGAAGUCCUUCGUCCAUAACUGAGCUACCAGGGAGGGCCUUGGACUUUGAGGGGCUUCAGCUUGCUAGCUGGUGAGCCUCCAAACCAGCAGCUUCUGGUUGGUCAGCAAGCAAAACUAGCACGCUCUGCAUAAUAAAUAAAACAUGGACUUCGACUAUUCCUAUGGUUAUUUCCCUGUUAUGAGACAUCUCUAUGUACUUGGGUCCGGUCACGUUCUUGUGAGAUCCUAUGAAACCGUCCAUCAAGAACGAGAACCUUCCGAAAGUCCUCGAGGCUGUGACGGAAGGUCUCCAUGCACUGCCGUAAUGUAUGAAUGGAUUUCCUUCUUAUGUCCUCCAGCCAAAUUGUCCUUCUUUUCUGGGAAAUUUGAAACUGCAACGUUGAUACUGAUACUGUGAAUUCGGUUCUACGACGACUCGGUUUUCUGCUUAUUCCAUGAUCUAUCCUGAGAACCCAGCGAUGGAUUCCUAGUUCCAUCGGCGAAAUCAGCUUUUACUUCAAGCCUAAAAGAAAUUGUAUGCAUCACACCACCAUCACACCACCAAUUACACGAUCCUAUUAAAAAGAAAGAAAAAAGAAGAAAAUUUUACUAACAUGGUUUUUUUUUUUUUUUUUGGUAAGAGUAAGCAAUAUAUUAAAAGGGGUCAAACUGUACAAACAACACGGCUCCAAAAGCUUACACUUAAAAUGAACACGCUCAUUAAGAGUGAAAGGAAGCCGCUGACAAGCAACAAAACGACCAACAGAAAGCCAACAGCAAACAAGCCUGGCAAAAACACCUAAGCAACCACUGAAAAGCCUAUGUCAGACUACAAUCAGAGGUAGCGAAGAUAAUGAGGUCCACAUCCCACGAGUGUUGCAUCCGCCUGUUCCUGGGAGAGUCCUCAACAUUCUUAAUAGUAAGGGCCUUAUCCUUAACAACCUUGAGGAGAUGCUUCUUCAUGGCCGAAAUAGAUAACGGCUCCCCCCUGAACAGAAUAUUGUUUCUGUUUCUCCAGAUGAUGUGACACAGCGCCCCAAAGGAGAACCGGGCAACACACUUAUAAAACUCCUUGCCGCCGAGCAAGGUAAUGGCCCAACUGAGAGUCUCCUCCCAAGUCCUGUUGGUCCAGGGGAGAUUGCAUCUAGUAGCCCAGAAAAAGGCAAUACUCGAGGUAAUGCGACAACCAAAAAAGAGAUGAUUGAUUGAAUCAGGCACCUCGUUGCAAAAAGGGCAGGAAGCAGCAUCAAUCCUACCAUAAGACAUGAGAAGAGACUGUGUAGGUAACCUCCUCUUGGUGAUGAGCCACAAGUUCAGUUGGUAGCGAGGUAGGAUGGCAUUACUCCAAAUGAAACAAUGCCAAUUGACUCUGGCCUUCUUCCUCUUUAAGGCCUCCUAAGCCGAGGCCACCGAGAAUAAGCCCGUCGAGUCCUCCCUCCAACAGAACCUAUCUUGGGUUCCAGACAAGGAAGGAAUCGGCGAACCCCAAGACUCAGUCUUUGAUCUGAUAGCUCGUCCAUCUUCAGAGAAGAGAUCGGCAACCAAAGCCCGCCUAGAGAGACCGGAGCUAUAGAUUAGGGGAUCCGUGAAAUAUAAAUUCAAAGGACCCCUGGGAUGCCAAUUGUCGAAUCAGAGUGACGCUGAUAAUCCAUUGCCUAACCUCCAGUGGAAGUGAAGCCGGCAAUCUGUCCUGAGUUGUAAAAUUUUUUUCCACGCCCAAGAGCAGCAGGUUGGCUUUUUAACUACCCAGAAGUUCUUGGUUUUUAAGAAGGUCGAGUGGACCCACUUACACCAUAACGAUUCCUUAUCUGAAAAUAAAUUCCAGAUAUGCUUGAGCAUGGCCGCCUUAUUGCACUCACGCAAUCUCCGGAUACCAAGACCUCCCUCCACUUUAGGAAGGCAUACAUCUUCCCAGGAGACUUUAGCACCCCCUACCCAACUCAGGUCCUUUCCAAAGGAAUUGUCUGAGAAUACGCUCUAUCUGGUCCAGUAUAGCUGCAGGAAGAAUAAAGACACUUGCCCAAAAAGCCUGAAUGGCAUGGAGGACUAACCUGAUCAGCUGAAGUUGGCCAGCAAAAGAAAGAAACCGAUGAGUCAGGACUGCACCUUGGAGGUGAUGCGCCUCACAAGCUAAACGCAAUCUGCCUUCCGGGGCCUCGAUGUGAUGAUUGGAACCCCAAGAUAACGGAUUGGAAGGUUACCCUCAACAAAGCCAAGCUCCAGGAGGAUUUGAUUUUUUAAGGUCGGCAGGCCUCCCGAGAUGAUCACCUCGCUUUUCUUUGGGUUUGGGAAAAGUCUGCUCCAAGAAGAAAACAUAUGGAGACCAUCCCUGAGAAGCUUCACGGAUGGCAGGUGGCCCUCGCAAAAUAGGAAGACAUCAUCCGCAAAAAACAAGUGUGAGAAGCAAGUAUACUUACAUCUCCAGUAGAAUCUGAAAUCCGGCUGUAGAGAGCACCUCCCAAGAAUCCCAGAGAGAACCUCCAUAACCAACGUGAAUAAGUAGGGAGAGAUGGGGUCUCCUUGACGUAAGCCUCGCCCACUAGGGAAGAAACCAUGUAGCUCCCCAUUCAACGCGAUGGAAAACCGAGGAGUCCUCACACAGGUUUGCCGACAAAGUAUUUGAAAAAAAAAUGAACGAUAUAUUUGAUAACACCCGACAUGUUCGACGAUGAACUUAUAAAUGUAAUCAAUUUGAUCAAGAUGUUUGAAAGGGAGAUAUGAAUAAAAUAUCAAAAGCCGGAAUAAGUGAUUGGAAAAGAAAAAUAGACAGUAUGUCAAGAAUAUGGAAAAUUCUCUCAUACUUAUCUAUUCACAUUUCGAUAUUAGAGGUGACAAUUUUUGACGCUACGGGUCACACGGCUUGAGCAUAAUAUGGAGAUAACUCAUUCAGAUUUGCGAUUGAAUUGAUUAUCUAUGUUUGACUUUCGUGCCAAUUGAGUCAUCCACUCAUAACCAAUAACAGAAAUAAAGAGGAGAGGAAAGCUUUCAUAACCCCUUGAAUUAUUGCAAAUUUAGCUCUCCAUAGUAUUUAAACUUGCUCAACUCACCCAAAUUUACCAUCUCUUGGCCUAUCUCAAAUCCUUGGUGUUGGUUAAAGGUUUGGCCUUUCUCCUAGUAUCCUCAUAUUGGAACAGUAUAUAUUAAGCUUGUCUGCGGCUCUACCUAUAAACGUCCGAGAAAUCCCUAAGGUCCGGACGUUGCCUCAGACAAAGCUAUUUAAGGUCGUAAUUAGGCCAGGCUAGAAUAAGAGAAAAUCUCGAGAUGUAAGGAGUGACAAUUCAUGGAAAACGGAUGGCGUGGUUGAGGAGUUAAAAUCGCAAUGAUACAAGUUGAAAAUGAGAGUUGAAUUCGAACGAUUUCCACUCAUUUCAUUCCAAGGGUAAAUUAGUCUCCUCACUUUUAUGUCUCUCUUCCCAAAAAGGAGGCUUUUUGACCGGUCGACCAUUCCCUUAGCCGGACUCUGAAGAAUCGAACUGCCCUACCAACCCUCCGGCGACGAGAUCCUCAUGCAGCCGUCCCGGUUUCUCGUUUCGCAAGAGAGCAGAAUGCACAAGGCGCCAUCGUCUUCCUCCCUUGGCCCCGGUGGCCUGGACCUUAGUCAGGCCUUCUUCAUGCCGAUCCAAGACACUGUGCCGCCGUCACCCACCAAGCGCCACUCCAAGAUCGCCGUCGUUAGGGUCGGCAACGUCGGCAUGGCCAUCGCCCAUACCAUCCUCACCUAGGACCUCGUCGACAAGCUUGCCCUCAUCGACACCCGACCGGGUCAGACCCGGGUCGAGUUAGACCGGACCCGACCCGGUUUUCCAAAAUUUUUUUUUUUUUCAUUUUUUUAAAAUUAAUUAAAAAUUUAAAAAAAAUUACAAAUUUUUUUAAAUGUAGGGUUUGGUUAGGAAUUGCCAUGUCUUGCAUUCUUAGUAUAAUUAUGCAUUUAUUUGCUCGCAUAUUAAUUAUAUUGCAUGUUUAAUUUGCGUAUUUUAUUAUAUUUAAUUGCACAUGCUAAAAUUUACUACAAUUAGGAUUUUGGUUUUAAAUUGUUACUUUAAUGAUUGCGUAUCCACAUGAUCACCUCACAUGUUAGUGGAUAUGGUAUAAAAUCAAUCCAAACUGCCCAACAAAAAUCUUUUCUUUUAAAAUGAACAAGAUUAGAUAUCAAAAUGGCAAUAAUUUGUUAAUUAGUGUAAUCAAAUCUCCAAUCCUAGAUUCUUUGGUUGCGUAGGAAGUGAGGUACACUCCCAUACCUCACUUCAUUUCUAGCCGACCCCAAUAGACUAGUGGCAACUCCUUUUUGCGAAAUUCUUGAGAACACCCCAAUAUUAUGCAGGGUAUGGGCUUGGGAGAGCCCAAGCCUAAUCAUGAACCAUAGGCCUGUCAUUUAGGCAAUACUCCUAAACAUGUUCCCUCCCCCGAGGAAUAGGUCGCGACAAUUAGUUAAGCAUGAAACUCGAUCUCGAUGAUGAUGACUCCAUAGCUUAGUUCCCAAGCCAGUUUGGGCACGCUGUAGUGUCUAGAACUAAUGGUUACCCAUUAUUCACCCAGAAGGAAGAGGGGAAGGAGGGCGGUCCAAUCAAUUGGAUUUUUUGUAGUCCAUAUGAAGAACUCAGUUAAGCGGUUUAGUACCCUUACUUGGAUUGGUAGUGCUGGAUUCCGACAACUGGCUGUACGCAGGAAGGCUUUUCCUGUAGAAAAUGCUUCUUUUAUGCCUCGAGUAUUAGCCAUAGCUUGUAUUCAUUCAGUAAUUCUACCCCUCUGGCGUCAUGAAGGACUGUGAGACGCCUUGUCCCUCCGAGUACUCCGCUAUAAAGUCCCCAAAGUCCAAUAAGGUGGUAGAAAGAGCAGUUGCGGCGCUUUACUAAUAACAUAAAAAUGGGUAUGGAUAGAAAAUCUGCAACCGUCGUUGGCCUUUCUUUUCUUGUCCUACCAACUUUAUUCACUUCAAUAGAAUCAUUUCCGUCUCUCUCUUCGAUCGAAGUGAAGGCUUUAUUUGAUUUGCGCUUAAGGCCCGUCCGCCCAAGUUGGGCCCAGAAAGCCCGGCCCACGGGAAUAGGGCCCGUGGAAAGAAGGGGGUAUAAAAGGGAGGAGAGAGAGAGAAAAACACACCGUUUGUUUUGCAAUUCAACGUACGUCUUUUCUCUUCUCACGCUCUCUCUCUCCCAAAAGGAAAGAACAGUAAGCAUACGGCGCGCUUUUCUUCCCUUCAAGGCCUCCUCGGAUCGAACAGAGUCUGAUUUCUCUUCCUCCAUUGGCGUCGGUGCUUAAUCUGUGGCUAACAAGGUACGCUCGAAUCCGUGGUGUGCUUUACGAUCGGUGAUACGUGUUUUCCCAGGCUUCGUCUUCCGCAUUGAUUUAGGGGGUCGAUUUAGUGUCAAAUCCGGUUUUUCGGGAAUAGGGCCCGUGGAAAGAAGGGGGUAUAAAAGGGAGGAGAUAGAGAGAAAAAUAUACUGUUUGUUUUGUAAUCGUACGUUUUCUCUUCACUUACGCUCUCUCCCUCCCGUUUUCUUUAAACGCAAAAACAGUAAAGCACAUUGAAGGUUUUUGCUUCCUCGGAUCGAACAAAGUCUGAUUUCUCUUCCUCCAUUGGCGUCGGUGUUUAAUCUGUGGCUAAAAGGUACGCUCGAAUCCGUGGUGUGCUUUAGGAUCGGUGAUACGUGUUGUUUUUCCCGGGCUUCGCUUCCGCAUUGAUUUAGGGGUUCGAUUUAGUGUCGAAUCCGGUUUUUCGGGGAUCAGUCAAUCCCAACAUUGGUAUCAAAGCCCUAGUUCACGUUUUCCCGAUCUGUUUUGAUGUUUUUGAUUGAUUUUUCGCAAAAGCAAUUCGGCCGUACGGAUCGGGGCGAGAAAUCCCGACACCCGAGCGUUCUUCGGCCAUUUUUCUGAGUUUUCGUAAGUCGAAAUCACUUUCUGAACACAUGGGGAGAAAGGUGACGUCGACACGAGUCUGGAGACACGUCGUGUGCUACCGGGCGACGCCGCACGCGCCCGGAAGCGCUGGCUCGCCCAGCGCGUGCGGCACACGCGCCGGUCGGCGAACCGGCGCGUGCGCACCGCCGGCGGGCGAACCGGCACGCGCCGGUCCGCGGACCGACGCGUGCUGACGUCACCGUGACGUCAUCCAACGGUCGGUAACCGCUCGGAUGACGUCACCGAUGACGUCAUCGCCGACGACGUUUCGCCGGGCGGUCACCGGCCGGCGACCCGACCCGACUCGCGGACGCAGGCACGCUCGCGGCACGUGCUGGAUGACGUCUGCGUGACGUCAUCCCCGCACCCGCGCGGCACGUGCGGUCGGUCCGCGUGAGCGGUCCGACCGGCCCGACCGGUCCGACGACCAUUGACCGUUGACCACCGUUGACCGUUGAUCGACGACUGUUGACCGACGACCGUUGACUUUGCCCGUUGACCGUUGACCCGAAAAAAAAAAAGAAAAAAAAGAAUGUGUUUUUUUUUCAAUUAAGUCUAUGUGGAUUAUUUGUGAUCUCUUAUUUAUUCUGCAUUUGUUGCAGGAACAUUUCUGCAUUUGUUGCAGGAAAAAAUGCCCCCCCUCAGGUUGCGCACACCUAUUCGCGCAAUUACCGAUGAACAGAAUGAAAGAUUGUCUAAGUUGAUAGCUGAGCUGACUGAUCAUCGAUGGGAGAGAGGUGACUUAAUUGAUCAUGUCCUUGAAGUCAACGGGAAAAUUCAACAGGUCAUAUGGAAUGGUCGUCCUAUGUCACAGUCAGAGAUGGUGCAAUUUUUCAUAAACACUCUUCCACCUGAAUGGCAAGAUGUGUUGAAUCGCAUAUGGGAUGUCAACGGAGCUGCUUCAUAUAAGAAAAUUGUAAUAGAUUUUGUAAAUGAAUAUUAUUGUAUUGUUUCAAGUAGGGGUGUGCAUUGGACCCGGGAACCGCCCGGACCGCCCGGAACCGGACCGGAACCGCCCGGAACCGGCGGUUCUUGAGGGAACCGGUCCGGUUCCCGGGUCCAAUUGUUGAGAACCGGUGGGAACCGGUCCGGUUCCCGGUUCUGUGGGCGGAUCCGCCCGCCCGCCCACCCGGACCGGACCGGUACUAUUUAUAAUUUAAAAAAAAAAAAAAAAAAAAAAAAACAAAAGUCGCGAACGAAGCCCCCUGCCCCUAAUUCGCGAAGCCCUAAUCGUGUUUCUUCUUCUUCAACCUCCGACUCUCUCUGUUCCUUUCCUUCUCUUCGUCUUCGAUUCCACGGUUCCACGGUCCACCCCGAGUAUCCACGCCGCCGCCGCUGCUCCUCCUCUGCCACUGUCCGCCCCCUCGCACCGGUCACCACUCGCCAGCGGCCAACCGCUGCUCCUCCGCCUCUGCAAGAACUCUUGACCGAGCCGGCGAGCCCAUUUUCCGUCACUCAACAAGGUAAGAAGCCCUAAUUUGCUUCUCAUCUCUUGAUUCUCUUCCGAUUUCUUCCUCAGUUUUUGAUUAUCUCUCUGUUUCUUCCUCAAUCUCUUCUCCUCGUCUUCGAUUCCUCACCAAGCAUUCACGCCGCCGCCGCUGCUCCUCCUCCGCCACUGUCCGCCCCCUCGCGCCGGUCGCCACUCGCCACAGCCGCUGCUCCUCCGCCUCUUGUUUCGCUCUUGAAAACCAGAAUUUUUCCGCCUCUUGUUCCGCUGCUCUUGUUUCCACAGCGGCGGUCCGGGAAACCAAAAUUGUUUCGCUCUUGAAAACCAGAAUUUUUCACGUCAAAAUCGGUUCCAUGGAUCCACCCGGGAACCGGACCGGACCGGCGGUCCGGUUCCCGGGUGGAUCCACCCAACAAACGGGUGGAUCCCGGUUCCGAUUUUUUGGAACCGGUCCUUAGCGGGCGGUUCCCGGUUCUAGGUCGGGAACCGCCCGCCCGGACCAUGCACACCCCUGGUUUCAAGGGAAAAGAUCAAGAAAUUGAACAAAAGAGGAUCUUUCCCAGUUCGUGUGCUGACUUGGUGUUAGUUGUAUUGGCUGAUAUAUGUUAAGUGUGAUUUAUGGACAUCUUAUGUAUUGUUUACUACUGAAUUGUGUUAAUUCAAAGCAUUAUUGUUUUUUUAUUGGAUGUCUAUUAUAUAUUGCUUUCUGUUAUUGCUGGUUGCUGUGAGAAAUUAGCUGUGGGUAGUUUUAGAAGUUUUUGUAGCUUCAUAGAAUUGAUUUUGCAUAAGACAAUUAUAUUGAUGAUAUUUUUAAGUUAGGAUUUUGAAGGAUGAUUGGAAACAUAGUGACCUUUUGAUUCUGAAAUCUUACUUAAAAUUAUUCAUUAAUAUGAUGGGUCUAUGUAAAUAGGGAUGCAUAAAUGAUAGGCAUUAAUAAUUCAUGCAUAUUUGUCUGAUUUGUUCAGAUCAAUGGCUUCAGCCACAAAGAGCAUAGUUGCCGAGCUGAACAAAGGUGAAAAGCUCAAUGGUGACAACUAUGAAAUUUGGCAAAUGAAAAUCCAGUAUGUGCUGGAAGAGCAAGAAGCACUUGAGGCUCUUGUCAUGACCAUGGUAGAACCUGAAGAGGGAACCACUGCAUAGCACAAAAGAGACAAAGAAGCUUUUUCUGCGUGGAAAAGAAUGAACUCUCUAGCUCGCAUCACGUUGCUGAGCAACAUGGAAAAUGACGUCAUGCGAGAGUUUCGGCGUUUUGACAAUGCCAAGGAAAUGUGGGAGGCAUUGGCAGCUAGAUUUGGUCAUACUUCGGUGACUAGACUGAGGCAGCUCACUAUCAGGUUUGACUCUUAUAAGAAGCCUCAUGGUUAAACCAUGAAGCAACAUCUUAGAAAGAUGUCAAACAUGAUAACUGAGCUGAGAGAUGCUGGCCAUGUCCUCACAGAUGAGCAGCAGGUGCAAGCAGUGAUUCGUUCCUUGCCUCAAAGUUGGGAGCACAUGAAGGUACACCUGACUCAUAAUGAAAAUAUCAAAACCUUUGAGGAUGCAAUGCGUCAUCUUGAGCUGGAAGAGGACCGCCUGUUGGCGGCUAAGCCGGAUGCUGAACUCUAUCAUGCUAGUUCUAGCUCAAAUGGAGCUUCGAGCUCCAAGCGCAAGCGCCCUAACUGGUUUGAUAAGGGAAAAGGCAAGGAAGAAGCAGGUCCUUCAGGGAAGAAACCCAAGUUUAACCAACAUGAAAGAGGGAAGCGUCCCCACAUGAAAAAGCUUGCAAGGGUGAAAUGCUACAACUAUGACAAGAAGGGUCAUUAUGCUCGCGACUGUCGUGAGCCAAAGAAGGUAUGCACCCCUUGUACUUUUCAGAACUUUACUUUUGUGUCGAGUUCUGUGUUCUUAACUGAGUCUAAUCCUUUGUGGACUGUGGAUUCAGGAGCGACGGACCAUGUAGCGAAGGAUAGAGGAUCCUUCGUGGAAUUCCGACGAGUACCAAUUGGAACUAAGUGGAUCUAUGUGGGAAACAACUCCAGAGCUGAAGUGAAAGGAAUUGGCACAUGCCAACUGAAUAUGCGUGGUGGACGCACUUUGUUCCUUCAUGAUGUGUUGUAUGCUCCGGAGAUUCGUCGGAAUUUAGUGUCUGUAUUAGUGUUGGUUAAAUUAGGUUUUAAUAUGAACUUCUAUAGUAGAGGUGUGAAUUUGUUUUUGGAUACAAAUUACUAUGGUUGUGGUUAUUUUCUGGAUGGUUUUAUUGUAUUAGAUAUUGAUUAUGUUAAUGCUAAUGUUUGUUAUUCUCUUCUCACGUCUCAUAAUACAUAUGAUAAUGAUGUGAAUGUGUGGCAUGCUAGACUUGGUCACAUUGGCCAACAGCGUAUGAAUAGACUAGCCAAAGAGGGCUUAUUGGGCAAUAUUGAAAAAGUCGAUUUGUCCAUAUGUAAGCAUUGCCUAGAAGGGAAAACGACAAGGAAACCAUUUGAAAAGGGAAAAAGAGCUGAAUUUCCUCUGCAUUUAAUCCAUUCUAAUGUCUGUGGUCCAAUGAAUGUGAAAGGAAGGCAUUGGGCUGUUUAUUUCAUCACUUUUAUAGAUGAUUAUACUCGAUUCGGAUAUGUCUAUUUGAUUUCUCACAAAUCUGAAGCAAUAAGUUGUUUUAAAAGGUUUAUGAACCUGGUAGAGAAUCAAUUAGACAAGAAAAUAAAAGCAUUGAGAUCCGAUCGAGGUCGAGAAUAUUUAUCUGAUGAGUUCAGAAAAUUAUGUGAUGAAAAAGGAAUAGAAAGACAGUUGUCUAUUCCAUAUACUCCUCAACAAAAUGGUGUUGCGGAGAGAAGAAAUAGAAUCUUACUGGAAAUGGUUAGGUCCAUGAUGGCGCAUGCUAACUUACCUAUUACCUUUUGGAGUGAUGCGUUGUUAACUGCUGCCUACAUACUUAACCGUGUGCCUUCCAAAUCAGUUACUUCCACUCCAUAUGAGUUAUGGACGGGUAGAAAACCGGACUUAAGUUUUCUUAAGCCAUGGGGUUGUGCUGCCUAUACACAUGAGUCCUCUCACAAGUUUGGGAAACUGGGUCCCAGAGGAAAGAAGAGUAUUUUUAUAAGGUACUCUGAACACUCGAAAUGAUAUGUGUUCAUAGGUGAGCAGGAAAGUGGGAGUAUAACUGAGUUUGAAUCACGAGAUGUCACAUUCCUAGAGGAUGAAUUUCCUAAAAAGGGCUAAAUAGGGGAAGAUUGUUCCCUAUUUGAAACCUUGGAUCAAGAUAAUGACCUUAGUGGACUUCAUCCAAGUGGGAGCAUAAUGGGGAAUGAUGUGCAAAGUGUACAAUCUCCCAUACGGCGAACAAGUCGCCAAAGUAUUCCUCGUCGACGUUUUGACAUUGAAGGGGAGACUUUUAUGGUUGCUCCACAAGAUGAGGAUGAGCCAAGAAAUAUUAAUGAGGCUCUGAAUUGCCCUAGUAAGGAAAAAUGGAUUAAUGCAAUGGAAGAGGAAAUGGAGUCAAUGAAAUCAAACCAAGUCUGGGAACAGGUUGAUCUGCCAAAAGGACGCAGAGCUAUUGGGAACAAAUGGGUUCUCAAAAUAAAGCGAAAGGCUGAUGGCUCGAUUGAAAGGCAUAAGGCUCGCCUUGUGGCGAAGGGGUAUAAUCAACAGGAAGGAAUUGAUUAUGAAGAUACGUUUUCUCCUAUAGUAAGAUUUACCUCGAUUCGCAUUAUUCUGGCAAUAAUGGUUGGUAUGGAUCUUGAGCUACAUCAGAUGGAUGUAAAGACUGCUUUCCUUAAUGGAAAAUUAGAGGAAGAAAUAUAUAUGGAACAACCUGUUGGUUUCAUAGUGAAAGGCCAAGAAGAAAAAGUAUGUCGACUUUUGAGGUCGAUAUAUGGUCUUAAGCAGUCAUCAAGACAAUGGUAUAUACGUUUUCAUAAUGCCAUAAUGGCAUAUGAUUUUACGAUGAUUGAUGAGGAUCAUUGUGUAUAUAUCAAAAGAUCCAAGGAUCAAUUUGUGAUCAUAUCAUUAUAUGUUGAUGAUAUACUAAUUGCUGGAAGCAAUAUGGAAUUUGUUAAGACUGUCAAGAGUUGGUUGUCUUCCAACUUUGAGAUGAAGGAUAUGGGUGAGGCUGCAUACAUUCUUGGAGUUAAGAUUUCAAGAGAUCGUUCGAAGAGAUCGUUGUCUCUUUCGCAAGAAACUUAUAUAAACAAAGUUUUAGAACGGUUUCGUAUGCAAGAUUGUAAACCCAUAGACACUCCUAUUGCAAAAGGUGAAGGAUUGAGCCAUAGACUAUGUCCAAGGACUCCACAAGAGAAGGAACAAAUGAAACAUGUUCCUUAUGCAAGUGCUGUUGGGAGCUUGAUGUACGCUAUGAUGUGUACAAGACCCGACAUAUAUUUUGUAGUUGGAAUGGUGAGUAGAUACCAAUCCAAUCCAGGUCCAGCACAUUGGAAAGCCGUUAAGAGAAUACUGAGGUAUCUGAAGGGAACUGCUGAUUACAAGUUGAAUUACCAAGGAAAUGAUCUGCGACUUGAAGGCUAUUCAGAUGCUGAUUGGGGAGGAGAUUUAGAUGAAAGAAAAUCUACCUCAGGAUUUGCUUUCUUACUGAGCAAUGGCGCCAUAUCAUGGAGUAGUAAGAAGCAAACGUGCAUAGCCUUAUCCAUGAUUGAAGCUGAGUUCGUAGCGUUAUCAGCAGCAGUACAAGAAGGAGUUUGGCUUAAGAGAUUUUUGGAUCAUUUAGGUGUUAUUGAGAAAGCUGCAAAUCCAUUAUUGGUUAACUGUGAUAGCCAAGCAGCUAUAACGUACACCAAAGAUCCAAAAUAUCAUGGUAAGACCAAACAUAUAGAUACCAAGUAUAACUUUGUGAAAGAUAUGGUUGCACGAAAGGAUGUGAACUUACAGUACAUAUCUACGCAUAGAAUGGUAGCAGAUCCUAUAACAAAGCUAAUAGCUAGAUAUGUGUUUUGUGGUCAUGUAAAAUCUCUAGGAUUGCGUAGAGUCUGAUGUACUGAAUUGUAAUUUCCCUGAGUUGUUCUCAUUUAUGAAAUUUUGUUUUUCAUUGAUUAAUGCCUAUGAAUCUUUGUAUGAUCUUUAUGCAUCUUAAUGCUCAGUGCAUUAUUUUAAGUUGAGAAGUAUGUCGGACAGAUAAAAGAUUAGCCCACUCACAUGGGUAAUCGCCUCUGUUUACUGUGUGAUAAAUAGAGAUGAGACUGAUUUUAAGCUUAUUAUCUAGGUGAUAAUCGAGAGCUCAAGCUUAAAAUACGUAUGUCGCCUUAACUAAGUGUUAAGAUGAGGACAUAAUACUUACGAUGUCCGAAAGUAAAAUACCCCACAUAUUUUACUUUAUCUGUCUAUGAUGCCAGAUGUGAGUUCUGAUGAAUUUUGUGAUUGAGUAGAUAUGUGAACUCAAGUUAGACAUUAGAUAUGUCUGAACUAUCAUCUGUACGGUAUUGAAAAGUGUAGACAUACGCUCCAUGGGAAAGGAGUUAAUACCGUAAUACGUAUUUCAUACUACGUAUGCAUGAGACGACCAAUAAGAGUGGCAAAAAGUUUGAUAUCAACUUUUAUGACGUGUGAGACUCUUGAUGAAAAGAGUUCCUCAAUUUUUAGUCCCCUUAGGACUCUUACUUAUUCUCAAGAUUUCUAUUUAGUGUUUGCUAUCUUAGGGUGUUGCCAAUGGUCAUGAGAUGAUUCGAUCUAAUGGGGCAUUUCUAGAAAAGCAAGCUGGACUGAAAUUGAGAGUUUGAAGGAAAGAGGAAGAUCGAUUUUGGAGAAUCACAUUGUGGUUUUGUAUUCACUGGUCGACCAAUUAUGACUGUCUUUGUGAUAAUUAUAAUUGUGAAUACAAUAUAAAUAUAUCAUUAUUUAAAAGAGAUCAAGGGAGAUAUAAAUGUGAUCGAUCGAUCUAGGGUACUCCAUACUAAAUCUACUCGGAGUGUGACACCCAUUAUGAGCUGCUAUAUAUUCCUAACAGAUGUAUAGCAACGAGCUCUCAAAGUAUGCUGGUCGCACGGAUUAUUCACCAGUAUGAAUGUUGAAGAGAGGUAAAGAGAAUCCUGUUCGGCCCACCAUGUGCGAGUGGGAGAUGAUGGUUUUAAUUGGGGAUGGGCUUAAGGCCCGUCCGCCCAUGCUGGGCCCAAAAGGCCCGGCCCACGGGAAUAGGGCCCGUGGAGGGGGAAGGUAUAAAAGGGAGGAGAGAGAGAGAGAAGACAACGUUUUGCAAUUCAACGUACGUCUUUUCUUCUUACGCUCUCUCUCUCCCAAAUAGAAAAACAGUAAGGCAAAGUGACGUUUUUCUUCCUUCAAGGCUUCAUUGGAUCGAACUUCCAUCCCUGAGUAAUGAGAGGGAUGAAGUAGAACAAGCGGGCCCUGACCUAGAGACUCAAUGUAACGAGGUGAGUAGUGCAAUUGACUCAUUUCUUUCUUCCUAAAAAAAAAUCGCCGUAAGAGGCGAUUUUUUGAUAAAGGUGCGAGAGCAAUUGAAACCUGUUAUCCCUAGAGUAACUUUUAUCCGUUGAGCGACGGCCCUUUCACUCGGCACCGUCGAAUUACUAAGGCCAACUUUCGUCCCUGCUCGACGGGUGGAUCUUGCUGUCAAGCUCCUUUCUGCCUUUGCACUUGAGGGCCAAUCUUCGUCCGACCCAAGGAAACCUUUACUCGUUCUGGCAGCUAGUUGAAUGGCAGCGGCAUCUCAUCUAGUCUAGAUCGAUUCCCUAAGAGUUUCUUCUCUAUAAGGCGAUUUGGCCCAUUUUCUCUUUCCUCUUUCUCUUCCCCGGAAAUAAGGCAAGCCUUUCUUCAUCAUGACAGCCUUCCUUUAUUUGAAAUGAAUUUGUCUCAGAAGGACACAAAAAAACAAAGAAAAAAAGGGCCGUGAUGAUGAUCCUAUCUUCGUUUUCACCCUGCCCCGAUGAUGCACUCUUUGCUCGCGGAGCUACAUACCGGAAAAAAGAAAAAGACUCUCUAAACCUUUGAGAAGAGAAUCGUUGGUUUGACCACGGACUACGUGGGAAAUCCGAGAUCUAGGCAAGCUGCUACAUCUUCUCCCCUUGCCAUUUUUCGAUAGAAGAACUACAACUCUUCUCUUAGAUAGCGGUUGAUCGCUCAGUUCCUUCUUCUCCUUCUUCCAAAACCCGAACCAAUCUCUUGAUUCACAUGAAUGUGAAACCGUUGCAACCUAUCUUGCAUACCAAUCAUCCGCCGCUUACAAUAAUGGUACUAAGCCAAGGUUUUUAUGGAUAGAAUCCGUUGCCUAGGAGCUCAGAGAAAGGUAGUGAAGUAAUAUUUUCUUUUGAAAGCAAAGAGGAGUGGAGUGGCAGUCGCGCAAGCAAGUGAAGUAUAAUAAGCCAAAACAAUUAUGCAACUUGGCCCCUUCAAUCCGACCGACUCCAUAGAUCUUUGGUUAUCCGAAAGCACGGCUUUGAGAACAAUAGCCUUUUGUUGGAUCAUAGCCUGCAUCAACUCAUUAUUUGAUUCCUCAAUCUGUUUGUUGUCUUCAAGCAACGAGAUUUCAAUCUGUCUGUUGUCUUCAAGCAACGAGAUUGUCACUCUCGAGCCCGACGGUUGUAGCAGCAAACGGAUUGACUUCCGUGGCCGUGCCUGAAGAUCCAUUAGAAGUAUCCUCAUCCCCAACCAUUAAGAGGGUAGGCUCCUUGACCUCGGGAAGUGGAACUCCCAUGGGGUGCUGCGGGCGUAGCCUAGCCCCAUGAAUCAAGAGUAAACCACCACUAGCAAUUGAAUCAGUAAGCGCUUUGAAUAGAAUAAAGGUUGCUACUGUUAUUGAAUCAACUGCACAUGAAUUUCACUCCAUCAAUAAACCAUGUAGGCAACUUAACCUAAUUCCUUUGGAAAGGCUUUCAUUGGCCUUUUGUAGCACGAUAGGAAAAGCGGAUUGAGAUUACUAAUGUGUCUUGGCAGUCAUAACGAUCCCCACACCGAAAAUCACAACAAAAGAGACAAGCUCACUGAAAUAAAGACCUAUUUGAACUAGAAAGGGAAGUCUCGGAGAAAAGGAAAAAGGAGCCGCUCGCCUCCUAGUAGUUUUGUAUUGAGAGACCCAGGGCGUUUUUCCUACGCUAUAUUCCAAAGUCCCAUUCAUCACUGCUUUCUGUUAAAAAGAAAAGAGCUGCUCCUUGUACCCCGUUCAUAUAACACAUGAGAUGUAUAGGCAUUUUGAAACCAACCGAUUGCAUUCUUCCUUCAAAUUCUGGAAUAUCUACCUUAAUAUCAUAAUCUUGUUGGAAAUCAAAUCAUAGUUUCUACCAUACGCGGAUCUCAUAUAAUACUAUACCGCUAAUUCAAGUCCGCUCAUUUCAUUAAGAACGCGCUCUAUAUGACCGGCGGCGGGUUACCAGAGAAGAGGGGACCACUUCUUUCUCCCUUGCCUUGCUCAAUCUUCCUUUUCCGAUUGAAAGGAGCAAGCCACUCCACUACUGGUACAGAGGCCAGAUAGAAGGUUGCUCAUCCAGCCCAGCAAAUCCAUUGUUUAUGCGGUAGUGCGAUGCAAAAAGGUAAGAGCUUAGUAAGGUAUAGGUUGGGGAAAACUCCAAAACUAGGGUUCCAAAAAGCUUACCUUAUAUAAAUCAAGUUUUUGAAAGGGGCACCCUGACUAUAUAUACCCCUAAACUACAAGCUAGCAUGCAACAGCUGAAUGUAGAGCAAUCCACCCUUACGACCUUUGAUCAGUAUAUAUUUAGAACUUCGGAAGAUGGUCAAGGUAGCUUGCUUCCAAGCCAUUGCACUAGAUGUGCAUGUAGUCGUAGUAGUCAACCUAGAAGGCCAAGGAAAUGAAAUUGUUAAUUUAAUGUCCUAGUAGGGCAGGGUUUAACACUAUAUAAGGGCUAGGGAAAACGAAGGUGGAAGCUGGCGGCAGGGCUUGCUUAACCGCAUACACGGAAUUGGGAUGUCUCUCGCAUGCAACUCUUUCUAUCGAGAAAGCCUCGCGGAGUUUUUCUCUCAGGAUGUCAGGGUCAAAUCUAGUUGGAAUUGGCUUCUUAGACUAAUCAUAGCAGGACUGUGUAUGUUGAAUACUGCUUGUCUUCCUGAGGAUUUGUGUGUAAGAAAGAGUGCCACCACUGGGCGGAUACCCUCGGAGAUCCCAGUGAAUACAUAUGUGUUAACAAUGUUUCCUAGACAUUGAUUGGAAAAUAAAUAUAUUAUCACGUCGGGAUAAGGCAGCAGGAGAUCAGAAGCUUAUGGCGAGAAGGAUAGAUUACAAAUUGGUGGUAAUACCCCUAACCAAGUCUUUUCACUUAACUUCACUAAGCUGUUGAAGUUAAGAUGUCUCAAACAAAUCUGUAAUACCAUAAUUAGGCUCUGUACACCUACGUCACUUGGCUCGCGCGCAACCCCACUCCCUUAUGUUAUGGAAAAUUGAACUUCUUGCUAGGCUGGUUAUUCAAAGCCAGCAAUUGGCUGCUGGAAGAUGAGGUUCAUCGCUCACUGGUAGGUAACUGACGCCUUAUUCAAACCAAAGGGCAUGACCUGCCAGCAGAAUAGUCCAUUCGUCCAACAGCACCUGGACAAGGGAAUGUUGUUUUUGCCUCGUCCUCUUUGGAGAUGAAAAUAUGGUUAUACCCCAAGUGACCAUCCAUGAAUGGCAGCAUUUUUUGUAAAAAAAAAAUACAAUCGAUAAGGUUCUAAUAUGGAACCCAUGACAUGUUUUACCCAAAACAAGGGCGCUACAUCCCUUUCAAUUGGUCUAUGGUGUCAUUGUAGAGAAUCCCUGCCUUGUUUUCCACAUGGUUAUUUCCUAACUUGCUUUGGUAAGAUGUGGGCGCAAAAUGCUAUUAUGCUCUAUUGUUGCGUAGCAAUAGAAAUAGAAGCCCGCUCAUGCUGCUUAGGCGGCGCUUUUUUGCCUUCUCUUUGCUCUGGACAGGAGCGCUAGUGGACACGGGGAGGGAGCAGGCGAAGCGUGUCGUUCGUGAAAAUCAGGUCGAUGGAGAUCCCUGCCAAAUUUAGUCCUUUCCGGGUGGCUAUUGACUUUGAAUAUGGAAGGCCCGGGCAAGCUUGGUAUCCAGGAAAAAAACAUAUUAAAAAUCUAUGUAAGCAUGCUAUUCUUUUUCUCUCUCCCGCUAAAGUCCGUGAAGAGGGGGGCUACGGGUGAUGAGACCGUUCGGCGUUCGCACACUUUGACCAUGUCGGCAGCACUUUUUUCUUUCUUCUUUUUGAAAUGUUUCAUGAAAACGCAUUUUUUUCAAGGGGAGCCAUGGGAUUCCAACCGUCUCCACCAUCGUCUCAGUCAAUUUUAUGACUCAAACCGCGACUGACAGGCCUGCCCACUAGCAACCUCGGUGAAUAGUAGUCCUUCAGUUUUGAGCCUUUGGUUGGAACUUGGAACCCUAUUCGUUGUAACCCGAUAAGAUCGCAAAUCCGAAAUCCAGUGAUGCCCGCUGCACCAUCAGGGAUGGGAUUUUAUCAGUUCCUUCAUCGAAAUGAUCAGAGCAUACGAGUUGACCGAAGCUGUCGUUGUUGGUUCCUGAAUUCGUUACGUCCCGACUAUGAGAAAUUCGAUACAAGCGAGAAGUGAGAACUAAGGGCUUACGCAACGUGCACGGCACCAACUCUUAAUGCAAGAACAUACAAAUAAAUUAUUUGAAAUUGGGCCUUUCCCCGGUAAAAGAACACCUCAAGUGUCAAAAUUUAGUACAAUUGAACACUUAAAUGUAAAAAAUUACAAAAGUAACACGAGCCACUUUUUAUGAAAAAAUAGGAUAUUUGAAUGUCACAUUCGGUGAACCCCGAAAUCCUACAUGGUAAUUUUUUAUUUAUUUUCUCACUUACGUAGUUCGCCGGAAAACUGACUCAGCAAAAACACACAAAAACGACUUCGUUUUGGUGCAAUUUGAAUUUCAAAUUGUCGUUCAACACUUGCAUGAUUGCAACUUAAGAUUCACGCACUCCGAGACUUUAUAUACUCUAAACAUUCAGGUCAACUCAAGUCAAGUCAAGUGCCACUAGAUGUCUCAGCGAGUCGUCCCCGAAAUGAUUCAAUCUGUGGAUAACAUCGAUACGGGAUCCGAAUGAUUGAAUCUGAUCUUCCUGUGGCCUAUCCAUGGUUUCGAUUGUUCCAAGCUCCUGUGGCCUUCUCUAUAAAUGGAAUGUUUCAGGUCAGGUCAGGUCAGGUACCACCAUACCUAUCCCAGCAUCUCCUCACUGAAACUAGUAAACCCAAAAAUGAGUUCGAGCCAUUUCUGUUCAGUCACCUUCCCUGCCAUCUUGAUCCUGGAGCUGGUGAUCGCGAGCUUCGCUUCCUGUAGCGCUCCAGGGAACGAGACCGAUAAAAUUGCUCUGCAAGAAUUCAGGUCCCUCUUAACAGAUGAUUCUGCAGGAACCUUGGCCUCCUGGAAUGAUUCCCUCCAUUUCUGCCGAUGGACUGGAGUCACUUGUGGUAUCAGACACCAACGAGUCACCGCCUUGAACCUAGAUGGACGAGGUCUGGCCGGGACCAUGUCCCCUUAUAUCGGAAACCUUUCGUUCCUCCGAUACCUGAACCUCGCAAACAACUCUUUCCAUGGUUUCAUUCCUCCUGAAAUCGGGCGCUUGUUUAGGCUUGUAAACCUGCUCUUGAGCCACAACGCCUUAGGAGGUGGAAUUCCUAGAAAUCUCUCCCUGUGUCUUAGCCUCGUGACUCUCGAGCUCGACUAUAAUCGUCUCCACAAUUCCAUUCCUUCCGAAUUUGGGUCACUGUCGAAACUCCAGACGCUCUCCCUUCCGUUCAACAAUCUCAUAGGGCCAAUCCCCGCUUCCAUAGGAAACCUUUCCAACCUCGAAACGCUUGAUCUAUUGAGCAACAACCUGACAGGAGGAGUUCCCAUUUCUAUAAGCCAAACGAGGCUUAAAUUUUUUCAGGCAGGUGCAAACCAGCUGAGAGGUGGCUUCCCCUCUGCCCUUUACAACUUGUCAUCCCUCAAUACCAUAAGUUUGACCCAAAGCCAGUUGUCUGGUAGUAUCAGGAGAGACAUAGGCCUUCUGCUUCCAAAUCUGCAAAUUUUAUAUCUGGCAGUUAAUCAGUUCACAGGUCCCAUUCCCGAUUCACUCUCCAACGUCACAAACUUAGCAGAAAUUGAUUUCUACGACAAUAACUUCACUGGACAUGUCCCGGCCAGCUUCGGAGGGCUUCAACACUUGAGCUGGCUCGGCCUUUGGUCUAAUUUUCUCGGAAGCGGCACAACCGACGGUCUAAGUUUCCUUGCUGAUUUGGCCAACUGCAGCAACCUUGAAUAUCUGGAUUUAGCACAUAACCAGUUCGAAGGCAAUCUGCCUGUUUCUGUUGGUAACUUAUCAUCCCAACUGAAUCAGCUACUACUGACGGGAAACAGAAUUCGUGGGAGAAUUCCUGAAGCAAUUGCAAACCUCUUUAGUCUACAUAAAUUAUUUAUGGACGAUAACAUGCUAACAGGCAACAUUCCAAUGUCUAUUGGGAGGCUAUCAAACUUGCAAUAUCUGAAUUUGGGCCGAAACAAGUUGACUGGACACAUACCUUCGACCAUGGGUAACAUCACCGGUCUGUGGCAUCUGGUCUUGGACAACAACAGCUUAGAAGGAAGCAUACCUUUGAGCCUCGGCGACUGCAAGUCCCUACAAUUUCUCUACCUCUUUCAUAACAAAUUCACCGGGACCAUUCCUAGCCACAUGAUCAGACCGUCCUCCCUCAUAAUACUUCUGGAUGUAUCUCACAACUCUUUGUCUGGGGCCCUGCCGGCCGAUGUUGGAAACUUAAAGAACCUCAUUUCUCUCAACGUUUCAUACAAUCAAAUUUCAGGUGAGAUUCCUACAACUUUGGGCAACUGUUUGGGAUUGGAAGAGCUGUAUAUGCAGUCCAACCAUUUUCGAGGACCCAUUCCUCAGUUCAAGGGGUUAAAAGGCAUCCGUUUUCUCGACCUUUCCAAUAACAACCUGUCAGGGCAAAUCCCAGAGUUUUUAGUUAACUUGUUGUCGUCACUGCAAUUCUUGAAUCUGUCUUUCAACAAUCUCGAAGGCGAAGUACCUGUACGUGGGAUAUUUGGAAACACUAGUGCCUUCGAAGUUGACGGCAACCGAGAGAUAUGUGGGGGCAUACCUGAACUGCGUUUGCCUUCAUGUCCAGCAAAAUCGUUCCCGAGAUCGACAAAGCAUAGACCUUCGAAGUGGGUGGUGGACAUAAUCAUUUGUGCUUCUUGUGCAGUGGCAUUACUGUCCUUAAUAUCUCUUUUCUGGUUGAGAAACUCGAAGAAGGAACAUCUGCCUGCCCGCUCCCUCGGCCAUUUUCACGAGAGAAUUUCGUAUGAUGCUCUAUUCAAAGCUACCGACGGGUUCUGUUCAAGCAAAUUGAUUGGUUCAGGUAAUCUUUAUAUGUAGACGAACAUUUAACCACAACAAAUGAGUACAGAGAACACCCUUCAUAGUUCAUACAGUAGUACCACAUUGCAUGACCGCAAUAAUUUUUAACUCUUGUUCAGGUAGUUUUGGCAAUGUGUUCAGAGGAACUCUUGGUCCCGACGGAAAAAUCGUGGCCAUCAAGGUUUUGAAUCUCCAGCAGAAAGGAGCUUUCAAGGGCUUCUUGGCCGAAUGCAAAGCACUCAGCAGCAUUCGGCAUCGUAACCUUGUUAAGAUCUUGACUGCUUGUUCGAGCAUCGACUCCCAUCGUAAUGACUUCAAAGCCUUGGUAUACGAGUUCAUGGUAAACGGCAACUUGGACAUUUGGUUGCACCCAAACGACGAACACAUGCAAUUCAAACCUUUGAGCUUC
rnacentral:lncRNA from 1 species